UGAUUCUAUUAAAUAAAGUAU
rnacentral:piRNA from 1 species